UGAGGAAGACUGUUAAGCAAAACAGACCUGGCUGGCCUGAAAGGGUCAAACAGGGAACACGCAGCCCCUCCUGAAAGGGAAGGACUGCCACGUGGAACACGCAGCCCCUCCUGAAAGGGAAGGACUGCCACGUGUAACAUGCGGCCCUUCCUGAAAGGGAAGGACUGCCACGUGUAACAUGCGGCCCCUCCUGAAAGGGAAGGACUGCCAUGUGAAACCAGCAAGCAUAAUUAACAGCUUCUUCGUUCCAUGACCAAGAGCAGAACAUGUUCUGUGGAGAGAACACCUUUUGAUCACUGUACUGAUCAUAAUACAAAGAGAUUAUUAACCAAUGAUGUAUUGCUGUCAGCCACAUGAAUGUUAUCCUAUUUAAGUAUUGUAUACUCCUGUAGCUAAAAGAUAUAAAAACCCUGUAACAACAAUAAACUUUGCUUCUUGCGC